GGGUUUCGUCGAUCGGUGUGGCUACGUGGUUUGCGAAAGGAAGGAGGCCAGAAAGGGUUUCCUCGAUCGGCUUCGCUUCGCAAACCGAUGUGGUCUCCUGGGUUUGACGGGCCGAAGGGAAGAACGGGAUGGAGUAGGGCAGCAGCGUCGUAGCGGUAGGUAAGGGGGCGAGGGAUCAGAGGGGACGGUCGCCUGCGGUGUUUGCUCCGGGGAAACACGCACUUCGGUGGGUCUUGCUCUCGGUGGUUGAAAGAAAUCGAUCUAGGGAAAGGAUGUUUGGGUUUUGAUUGUUUGGAAGGAAAAGGAAACACGAAGAAGAAACGGGCUACUGCCCUCUUGGUUGUUCUUGGCAGCAAUCGAAGGUGGUGGCUGCAAGGUUGAUCAAGGGGGUGUGUUACAUCUGGGAAUCGACAGGUAAAGGGGGAAGAUGGGAACAAUUUGUAUCUAUAACUUCAUGAUCUCAAGCAGAUUUUUGGGAGACUUCUGGUACAAUAUGAUCAAAUAUAGAAUUUGGAGAGUACUCUUGCAGUAUCUUUGUGGAUAUAUAAUAUUUGUGAGAGAUACGUGUAGAGAGAUAUGUGUCAUUGUUUUGGGAUAUAUAAUAUUUGUGAGAGAUAUGUGUAGAGAGAUAGAACGUGUGAGAGGGAGUUAUUGAAUAUAAUACGUGUGAUCUUUGUAGGAUUUUAUAAGUACACAACAAACAACAAAUAUUGUAGAUUUUUAUGAGGGAUAUACCCAUAUGUAUAAGUAAUUGAGUAUUUAAAAUA